rnacentral:rRNA from 1 species
CACGUAGGGCGCAAGCAUUGUCCGGAAUUAUUGGGCGUAAAGAGCUCGUAGGCGGACUGUCACGUCUGCUGUGAAAAGCUAGGGCUUAACCCUGGCCUUGCAGUGGAUACGGGCAGACUAGAGGUAGGUAGGGGAGAAUGGAAUUCCCGGUGUAGCGGUGAAAUGCGCAGAUAUCGGGAGGAACACCGGUGGCGAAGGCGGUUCUCUGGGCCUUACCUGACGCUGAGGAGCGAAAGCGUGGGGAGCGAACAGG